CGAGCCAGUUGAGAUGUUAUCAUGCCCUCCAGAAGGUAGCGACAGCUGUGGCUCCUACAUUAUCCGCAUCCCCUGCGGUUCACGGGACAAGUACUAUCACAUAAAACUCCUUGGAAUUUAUGUAUUCAAAUUCCUGCAGGUACUCACGUUUUUCUAUACUCACGUUUUUUUAAAUGCAGGUACAUACCAAAGGAGUCACUCUGGCCCCAUAUUCCCGAGUUUGUUGAUGGGGCGCUAAAUCACAUAGUGAGCAUAGCAAGAUCUCUGGGAGAGCAAGUGAAUGGAGGGAAACCAAUCUGGCCUUAUGUAAUUCAUGGCCACUAUGCUGAUGCAGGAGAAGUAGCUGCACAUUUGGCAGGAGCGUUAAAUGUGCCAAUGGUGCUAACUGGUCAUUCUUUGGGAAGGAAUAAGUUUGAGCAGUUGCUUCAACAAGGGAGAAUUACCAGAGAGGAUAUUGACAGAACAUAUAAGAUCAUGAGGAGGAUAGAGGCUGAAGAACAGAGCCUUGAUGCAGCCGAGAUGGU
rnacentral:lncRNA from 1 species